GUGGUGGUGUUGUACGUUCAAGGCCUGGGGACAAAGGAGUGGAGAGAGUUUGGCCGGACAGAAGUGAUCGAUAACACACUGAACCCUGACUUUGUCAGGAAGUUUGUCCUCGAUUUCUUCUUUGAGGAAAAGCAGAACCUUCGCUUUGAUGUGUACAAUGUGGAUACUAGGAGCUCCAAUCUUUCCAAACAUCUUCUCUAACAUGUGUCUGCCUUUCCUUACUGCCUCCCCUCCUGGAUAA